CCUACGGGUGGCAGCAGUGAGGAAUAUUGGUCAAUGGACGAGAGUCUGAACCAGCCAAGUAGCGUGAAGGAUGACUGCCCUAUGGGUUGUAAACUUCUUUUAUAAAGGAAUAAAACGAGGCACGUGUGCCUUUUUGCAUGUACUUUAUGAAUAAGGAUCGGCUAACGCCGUGCCAGCAGCCGCGGUAAUACGGAGGAUCCGAGCGUUAUCCGGAUUUAUUGGGUUUUAAGGGAGCGUAGAUGGGUUGUUAAGUCAGUUGUGAAAGGUUGCGGCUCAACCGUAAAAUUGCAAUUGAUACUGGCAGUCUUGAGUACAGUUGAGGUAGGCGGAAUUCGUGGUGUAGCGGUGAAAUGCUUAGAUAUCACGAAGAACCCCGAUUGCGAAGGCAGCUUACUAAACUGUGACUGACAUUGAUGCUCGAAAGUGUGGGUAUCAAACAGGAUUAGAUACCCGGGUAGUC
rnacentral:rRNA from 1 species